rnacentral:rRNA from 1 species
AUGGACCAUUCCAUCCCUUUUUCCCGUGCAUAUGCAUUGGACUUGGAUGACGAUGGUCCCGACGAACAAGUUGAUGCGGAGGGGUUCACGGUGAAGGAGGCCGAAGCUUUCGAGAAGGUAUUCGUUCGUGAUCAUCGGACUACACUGUUCAAGGAUGUUAGUCUCGCGGAUGAAGCUGUGGUAGAUGGUGGCCAAUUUAUAUCUGUUGGGGUUAGGCCAAGCUCUCAC